UUAACAACCAAAUCAUCUUAUUCUUUUUUCACUACAUUAGGCUAAGUUUCUAUGAAGUUUUAUAAUAAUUGUGUUAAUGUAUUAUAUUGGGUUAUUUGACCAAAAAGAUUUUGUGUACGCUUUAGACGGAGUUUACUAUGUUCGUUCUGUGUUCUUGAGUAAUUAAUUAUGCUUAACAGUUAUGUAUUCAUCUAAUUAAUAGGUCAAACGUCAUUGUAUGAUGUAUUAGUACUAUAUAAUAUAUUUGGUAUCUGUUAAUAUUCAAUAAUACUUUCAUUGUUUAUAUAAGGAUUUUUUAAUAUUUACCACCUUAUAAGUUUCAUGUUUUUGUAUUUACCACCUUAUAAGUUCAAAAUUUACAUUUACCACCUAUAAUUUAUCAAAUGUUUUACCUUUACCACCAUUUAACAGAUUUCAUCCAUUUUUCCAUCCACUUGGGCCCACUCAACUAAAUAAUUAAUUUCCCUCCUUUUUAUCCUAUUUCCUCACGUUUCAGUUUCCACGACAUUAGGAUCAAAUUUGAGAUCUCUCCUCCAUCUAUGCCUGAGACGUUUCUCUGGUUCAAUAUCAAAGAAAAAAAAAGUUAGAAGUUUCAAGGAGAAUAAUUAACACAAUGGGUUUUUGUUCUCCAUUAUAGGAGAAUGGCGCUAAUAUAUUCAUCGUCAUCAAUCUAUCUAAUUAACAGGAAAAUGACUCCAUACUCGAAGUUAAGUCACCUUAAUAACAAAGUAAGAUUUAAGUGUGCAAAGCUUACCUCUUGGACCGGAGAAAUUUUGGAGCAUACAUUUCUAGCUUUUCCUGUUGUAUGAAUGAGAAGAGGUUUUGACAAAUUUUACUGGGUGGAUGAAGACAUCACUGACUGGCAAAGAGAUGUUACAAAUCAGCUAGUGUUGGAUAAGAAGCUCCUGCAAAUUGACUUGGCUAUAAUGCAAAUGGAACUCAACUGUUUGACGGGGAACUGAGGGUUAAGUGCAAGAGUUUAAGCAAUGCAUUGAUCAAGAUUAAGAAGGGGAAAGGGACAACACCUGAUGGCAUGAUGGUUAUUGGCAUAUUUUGUGUUUUGGUACUAGUUGUUGUUGUUGUUGUUAUCGUCAUGGUUCUUUUUUAGGUUGAUGUAUGAUCUAUGAAUUGCAAGGUUGUGCAUUACAUUGAAUGAAAUGAAUCAAGUUCUUGGUUUUGAAUAUUGUGGAAUAUUUCUUUUUCAAUGAAAUGAAUUAUUCUGUUA